UACAGAGGGGCAAGCGUUGUUCGGAAUUACUGGGCGUAAAGGGCGCGUAGGCGGCCUGUUAAGUCGAACGUGAAAUCCCCGGGCUCAACCCGGGAACUGCGUCCGAUACUGGCAGGCUUGAAUCCGGGAGAGGGAUGCGGAAUUCCAGGUGUAGCGGUGAAAUGCGUAGAUAUCAGGAGGAACACCGGUGGCGAAGGCGGGUCUCUGGGCAGUAACUGACGCUGAGGAGCGAAACCGUGGGGAGCGAACAGG
rnacentral:rRNA from 1 species